AGGAAAACAACUCACGAGGCAAAAAAGUACAUCUCGUGGAUGGAGCAGGGCGAAGUGGUUACAAGUACAGACUCUGGAGCCAGACUGCCUGGGUUUGAAUUGUGCGGUUUCAGUCAGCCUCUUAAAGUGGUGGGAUUCCAGGCAUGAGCCACCAAGCUCAGUCUUCUCUACUAUUUUAAAUCCAAGUUUUACACUUGGUUGGAAAAUUCCUCUAAUCCAUUUUAUUUCACUUAGCAAAUAAUAAUAUUCUGAAUCUGUUUCUAAAAAACUCUCACUCUCAAAGCUAAAUAAGAACCCAGAGAUGUGGAGAAUCACAUUCUGAAGUCUUGUCACUCCAUUCUCUAAUUAUUAUGUCUGCUGUAUUUGCAUUUAUGGUUUAUAUGCUUUGAAUUUGUAGCUUUUCUGUUUUGCAAGAGUUACUGUCAGUGAGACAUCUACCAAAAGAAAUACUGCUAUUAGUGGUGUCAGGACCAAAUGUAUGUAACAGUGUGGUGUGUUUCUAAAUCCCUACUGUGGUUUUUGAGAAACUGUCUCUAAAUGGGAGAGGGUGAUGUGAAGACUGAAAGAAAAAAUCUUUAGAAACAACAAAGCAGAAACAUUAAUAGGAAAGAGCUUCCAGUGAUUAAAUUUUUCUUUUGGUCUUUCAGAUUGAGAAAGUAAGGAGAAUAGGCAUACAUGGUGGGAAAUUUCUAUCAACUUGGAAAAAACAAUAGAAUACAUAAUUCUUAGCCACUGAGAUGAGAGCCCAGGAAGUCACAAGGUCAAAGGAUCCUGUCCCAUUGUCUGUGGUGACAGCCUGUCCUCCCACUAUAAGGAAUGCCUUACCCUUAAACUCUGUUUAUAAUUGGGGAUCAUAAGAGAGUCUCCAAAGCACCUGACUUUGUUCCCAGAGCCCUUAGCCCCUUUCCACAUUCUGCCAUUUGAUGGACGACCAUGGG
rnacentral:lncRNA from 1 species